rnacentral:rRNA from 1 species
UGGGGAAUAUUGCACAAUGGGGGAAACCCUGAUGCAGCGACGCCGCGUGAGUGAAGAAGUAUUUCGGUAUGUAAAGCUCUAUCAGCAGGGAAGAAAAUGACGGUACCUGACUAAGAAGCACCGGCUAAGUACGUGCCAGCAGCCGCGGUAAUACGUAUGGUGCAAGCGUUAUCCGGAUUUACUGGGUGUAAAGGGAGCGUAGACGGAGAGGCAAGUCUGAUGUGAAAACCCGGGGCUCAACCCCGGGAGUGCAUUGGAAACUGUUUUUCUAGAGUGUCGGAGAGGCAAGUGGAAUUCCUAGUGUAGCGGUGAAAUGCGUAGAUAUUAGGAGGAACACCAGUGGCGAAGGCGGCUUGCUGGACGAUGACUGACGUUGAGGCUCGAAAGCGUGGGGAGCAAACAGGAUUAGAUACCC